CAUCUUUGUAUGUGGUGCUGAGGCUCGAACCCGGGCUGCACGCAUGCCAGGUGAGCGCGCUACCGCUUGAGCCACAUCCCCAGCCCCGGGUCAAAGUUUUAAAGGCCACAUUUCUUAUCAGGAAUUCUUAGUUUCCACAGAUGCCAAAAAAUUCAUUCCUUUGCAUGCUUGUGAAACCCAGGGAAAAGCUGCAUGAACCCUGUAGCUUUACUUGCUUUCAGUUACUUGCUUUUAGUUAACUUACAAAAAAAUCAGUAAUCUUGGAGGUCACAUUCAUCUCCCACUAGCUUUGCUGUGGAUAAUACCUCUGAUGUGUGGGUUAUGAUGAUAACGGUUGCCUAGGUUACUUUUCAGGGACUUGAAGGCCACUUCUGUUGAAACUCUGACUCUGCACUUGGGCCUCUGCAAGUCUCCAGUGGAUGACUUUUUGCUACCAGGAGCCUAAAACUCUGCCUGAGGAUCAUGUAGUGUAGCCAUUUUCUGAACAUACGUGCUGUGAAGAGUCACAAAUAUUGAUUGCACGUGUGCCAGCCACCAAUUCACCUUGAGUCAUUUUCCCCCAUGCCUAAAAUUACCUUGCUUCUUUAUCCCAUGAAUGUCCCCCAAUUCUGUCCUCUGUGAGGUGGAUUUGAGACUUCUUGUGCUUGGUGCCUCAUGAUUAAACUCUCCUUUGCAAAACUGGUCAUUUCAGUGAUUAGCAUACUUCCCUGCAGCAAACAGGUCAAGUUUAGUAAAAUUUGGCUAUGCAGAACCUGUGUUAUUUGUUAGCUUUUCAAGGAAUAAGAAUUAGCACAUAAAACGAAGAUACAUAAAACACCUUCUUAUUGCAUGUCUAUCCGUGUGACUAGAAAAGAGGGAAUGGGAAACAAGACCAUUUGUGAAGAGCUAACGGUUUUCAAGUUGUUCAGCCGCAGAGGAUGCCUGUGAAUGCACAAACAUCGCAUUCGUCAUGGGCCAGAGAUAUAACCCAAUGGUGGGGUACCAAGCAUCUUACAUCACCUGCGUGUUAAGGAGAAUCACCAUUCCUCCCUGUCAGCUCGUGAUUUGUCUCUCUGCCUGUGACUUCCUGAGGCAGGUGUGUGUGUGUCUCUGAUUACUGAGAACAGGUUUCACCAUGAACACUGCUGGUUCCCUUCUCUAGAGAACUAAGCUAUCAAGGUCCUUCGUUUGAGAAGUGUUGAAAGCCACCUUCAGCAGAAGUCCAAUUGCCACAGCUGUGCCACACCGUGGAGAUGUGGAGGUAGCAGAACUCAGAGAGGUGCCUUGUGAUGGGGGAAGGCUCAGCUAUACUGAAGGACACCCUCAAGGGGACCUGCCAAGCAUCUGCCUACCCAAGCACUCCCUGGUAAAAAGUCUUAUUUUAUUUUUCAGACCUUAUUUUGUGGGAUUGGUCUCCUCUGUUUUACUUUCUUGUUGCUGUAAUUCUGAUUGAUGAAAAGUACAUCUUGCAGUAGACUCUGUGCCAGGGAAAUGGGACUAAACUUCUUGCCUAAAAGGAACCUUUGUAGAAGGAUUAGCCAUAGGUAGCUGUGCUGUCGUGGAAGGUGUUAGGAGUGCUCCAGGGAGUCUGUAGGCCAUUUCCCUGAUCUUAGAAACUGUGUUCUGGCCAGCUCGUUCAGCACAAAGCACAUGCUUCUCUGAAAUAUCUAGAUGUUCCCCCAGGUACAUCUGAUUUCCAAAAGAGGGAGCCGACUCUUCAAGGGCAAGGACUGUGUGUUUUCUGCUGUACCUCACAGCAAGCAGCAUUGCCCUGAGCACUCCUGGUGACUGUGGGACUCCACUGAUUGACAGCUAGAUUGAAUGAAUUCCCAGUGCAGCCAGGUCUGGAACACUCGGAAUCUGUGUGCUCCUCAGUCCUCUUACAGAACUCACAGUGCUGUCACACCAGCCGUGCAAAGCCCUAAAUUAGGUCAGAAAAAACAGACCACAGGGAGAAAAACACACACUGGCCCUCCAACCUAAGGACAGCCUGGAACCACUCCCAGGAAGGUGCCUCAGGCCUGGGGCUCCUUGGACUUUGGUCCCCAAAAGUGUUGAGAGAGGCUGAGGGCCUGGGGUUUGGAGGCUGCACACUUGAGAUCUGUGAGACAGUGUCUACUCGGAUGAGUCUUCACUCAGCAAGCCAACUGCCAGUCCUGCAUGUUACAUACUGAAGACACACUGCAGCUGAGUGGCCCUGGAGGCAGGCAGGAUAACAUCUCACUAACACCCAUCAGUGUUGCUUCUGACUCUUGACCUGUGGCCUCCUGGCAUAAAUUGAUGAUGCCUCAAGUCCUGGAUGCAGGGUCAGGGGAGCCCACACAAUGUAGAUCUGCAUGUGCAAAUGUCUAUCUGUGUCAAAGUGAUUGGUGCCAAGAGAACUCACUGAAGUAUGAAGACGUCAAGGGUUUCCUCAUCUUCAAUCUCCUUUGAUACUGAAAACUCGAGGCAAGGAAAUUUCAUCAGAGUGACAUUACUUAGCAAGUGGAUUUUGUUCAUAACAACACUAGAUUUAUAGUGUCUGUCAGCCCAGUUCUGAGAGUCUUGUAGAAUCUUAAGUGUAGCAACAGAUCAGGUUUGAAUUCAAAAGUCACAGGAAGUACCCUCAUUUGUAGAAGGCAGUUCCACAUUAGAAUGACAUUAGAGCCACCCUCAAAAGGAGCAACCAAACAUUCUUUUCAGAUUUAUAAUUUAAUAGUGUGGGCUUCAUGUUUGGAUCCCAUGUGAUCCUGGACAAAUUUUUCAUCCCACUAAACCUCUAUUUCUUCACCCAUAAUGCCUACAGAAUAAGGCUGGUGUGGAGUGAAACUAAUAAAGGUAAAGUAUUUGUCACAUGCCUGGUAAAUGUACAAAAGAUUACUUUUAUUUAUAUAUUGUCAUGUAUUAUCUAUUUUCCUAUUAAGUGCUUAGUUUCAAUAAUAUCUCCUAAAUUUCCAUUUGCUCUUGAAUUCUCAUUGAACCUUUUUAAUUGCAACACAGGGAAAUCUUUCUACAUGCCAGGUACUACUCACAAUAGCUCAGCGAGAAAGGAAUGGUCCUCUCUGUUCUGCAGGUCAGAACGACGACUUUGGAGAGGCUAAGCCGUGUGCUGAGACCACACUGGGGACUAACUGAUGCUAGGCCACUGAACUCCAAAGCUGCUCUUUCUGUUUUGCUGUUUUCAAGGAGUCACUUUGUUCCUGACCUUUGAUGUUAUUAAUUUUUGGUAUUCAAAUGGCAGUGCACGGUGGAUUACAUGUGGAGUCAUAUCUGGAAAUAAUUUGUAAAUAGGUGUUUGGCUAAAGCACCAUAUGUAUACAUAGGCAGGGUUUCUUUUGUGCGAAUGCUCUGUUUUCAUUCUUACACUCAGGUGGGACCAUUGCUUCCUGGGCUGAUGAACUUCUGCCCUUGCUCAUGCCAGCAGUUGUUGAUAGGGGGUGUUUCUAUAUGUUAAUUAUAACACCAACAUAUGAAUCGCUCUAUUAUACUAACACAUUGAUGCCAUUCUUUCCAUUUUGCAAUAUCCUAAAGGACCUUUAAGUUUACUAAAUAUCUUGCAGCCUCUUUCUUAGAGAAGAUUUGUGAUAAUUGGAAUCUGUGUCUUCAUGUUUGAUUGAUUGAUUUCUAAAUGAUUCCUAACUUCUAUAGGCAGAGUUUCUUUAGAUUAGCAUCCCCACCAUCCCCAAAAGAAAUUCAAGAAAAGAAAAGACAGUUUUCAUGUUGCAACAGACAUCGGAAUUGUUGGUAUUUAUGGAAGUUGGGUAAGUAGCUAAUUGUGCUGUCUAACCCUCAGGGUAAAGCCUGGAACAAAUUAUUUGGUGAUGUGAUAAUAUUGUCACAAGUUUAAAAAUUGAUUAUGAAGAUCUGUCUGAGGAAAGCAUGAUGUUACAGAAAUUUCAGUUUCCCAGGUAUAGAAGGUUUAAAGUUCUAAUCCCAACCUGCCACCAACUUUUAGAUUACUAGUAAGCUAAGGGCCUUCACUUCAAUUGCUUUUGAAUUUAAAAAAAUAUUUAUUAAAAGAAUAUUUAUUAAUAUUAAAAGAAUAUCAAUAUUCAGGAUGUAUCAGUCUGCAUGGUUUAAGUUAUGCUGUGAUACAAAAAAAUCCUAAUAUAAGCAUCAUGUUAUUUCUUUCUAAAGGUUCUUGCCCACUGCUAUGGAGUAAAUUGUGUCCUCCUUAAAUACACAUUGAAGCCCUGUCACCCAACGUGAUGACAUUUGGGGAUGGGGGAAUCUUUGGAAGGUGAUUAGGUUUGGAAGAGGUCAUAAGGGUGAGGCCCUCAUGAUGAGAUUAGUACUUUUAUAAGAAGAGAACCAGAGAACUUGCUCUCCUCACUCCUCCUCGGACAUGAACCAAGGGCAGGUCAUGUGUGGAU
rnacentral:lncRNA from 1 species